AUGGCGAUUACAACAUCGGAGAGUGAAGAAGAGCGAAUGGAGGAAAAAAGUUAAAAAGAGUGCAGAAAAUGGGAAAUAAACGAUGCUACAUGCAUCUUUUUUCCGUGAAGAAUGAGGACGUCUUGGACUUCACUUAUCAACGGUGGAACACGAACAGACCCUGCUUAAAAAGUGGCUUUGUCUUCACAGCGCUAACAAGUAUCUUGCAGAAAUAUACCAACAUUGCGUGGAUAUAGAUUUUGAAAAUAUUCCUGGCAACGCUGGAUUCAACACUGCAUGCUACCGGCGUUUAACUGAUAAACAGAAAUUGUUGAAGGCGAGCCAUUCUAACCCCCCUACGAGUACUAGCAAAGUUGCAGAAGCGUCUGAAACUCCCAGAAAAAAACUUUGUUCCCGUUCAGGUUUGCCCAUCGCUUCUGCUGGCCCUGUCCUGCCAGCCAUCUGCAUCAUUUGUAAAAAAAAAAAAAAAAAGUUUCAAAGUAUGCUCGUUUGGGAUCGGAAGGCAAACGGCAGAGGGAUCAUCUCGCCAAAGCAGAGACAUUGUCGGCAGGCCGGUUGCUGCAGGCAGCAGAGAUGAAGAAAGACUCUUCAAUCCUUCUACAUAUCGAAGACAAAGACUGUUGCAAUGGAGGUGCGAUACCUUAAAUCCUGUUACCGAGAUUACACCAGGUUCCUAACCAGGUCAACAGCAACAGAAACUGCUACGAGGGACGAAGAAAUACAACCCUAUGCUGAGAGCUACAAACUCUUUUGUGAACAAGUGGUCCGUCAAAGGAUUAUUGUUGACAAAGAAGUGCUCAGAAUGGACAAGCUAAGAAGGUUGUUCGUGAACACCGUGAAGAACCAUGAGGAUCUUGAUGCUUCAGACUACAGGUAAUUCAGACUUCCAGCUAAUAUUAAAGAAGCCGAGACAGUCUGCACAUUUAAGACUAGAUUAAAAACGUUCCUAUUCAACAAAGCUUAUGGUCAGGCUAGUUGAAGUCGGAGUAGACUCAAAGUUUAGUCUAAACUGCACUAGAAGCUAUAGAGCUGGGGGAAGUACAGCCACUGAGUUCUAUCUCCUUUUUCUCACUCUACCUACCACACCACUUAUCUUACUCUAUUUCUAUUUUACAAUGUUAAUAUCUAGUUGGAGCGGCACGGUGGCUGAGUGGUUAGCACGUCUGCCUCACAGUUCUGAGAUCAAGGGUUCAAUCCCGGGCUUCGGCCUUCCUGUGUGGAGUUUGCAUGUUCUCCCCGUGCCUGCGUGGGUUUCCUCCGGGCACUCCGGUUUCCUCCCACAUCCCCAAAACAUGCAUGGUAGGCUGAUUGAACACUCUAAAUUGUCCAUAGGUGUGAGUGUGUGCGUGAAUGGUUGUGUGUCUCCUUGUGCCCUGCGAUUGGCUGGCAACCAAUUCAGGGUGUCCCCUGCCUACUGCCCGAAGUUAGCUGGGAUAGGCUCCAGCACCUCCGCGACCCUCGUGAGGAAUAAGCGGCAUGGAAAAUGAAUGAAUGAAUGAAUAUCUAGUUGUUUAGUCUCUUCAUCACUAGUCACCCGGUGUCCCCUUUCCCCCCUCCCCUCUGGGGAGGGGCUAUUUUUUCAGCUGCAGCCUCCUGACUGUCCGGACCCCAAGCUGGAUGGACGUCCUCGUGGCUACCCCCGUCUCAUCUGGCUAGAUGGACCCCUUCUUGUUCCUUUACUCCACUGCAUCUUUACGGACUGUAACUUCGCCUGCUAAUUACCAUUAGCGGUCCUGGGGUUCCUGUCUAUCCGUCCUGGGAGUGGAUCUCUCCUGACUGUGGUACUCCCCAAGGUUUCUCAUUUUUCUCCCGAAGACUGGAGUUUUUGGAGUUUUUCCUUGCCGACAUGGAGGGUCUAAGGAUGGGGGAUACCCAGGACUUGAAUUUAUUUAUGAAUCUUUGUUGCUUCAUUUGCUGUUUCUGAUUGUGUAUCAUAUUGCCUCUGCAAAGCCCUUUGAGACAACAUUGUUGUGAUCUAGGGCUAUACAAAUAAAACUGAAUUGAAUUGAGGUAAUUUAUAAAUCGUCAUACUAAAAAAAAAUUUUUUUUAAUUUCUCUAAAAAAAGGCUUUGAGAGAAUGUUAAAUUUUGUUCUCUUUGGUGUAUUUGUGUGAAUGAGAAAUAUAAGUGCAACAGUGAAUGUGGGUGUGUGUGAUGUGAA